rnacentral:lncRNA from 1 species
GUGGUCAAUCUCACAAGGCAGAGGGAAAGGGGUAAACCCUAAUUCUCAAGAAAUCUCCAAAUUGAAAAGGGAAUUGAAGGUUUUUAGGAUGCAUGUAUCAAGAUUAUCGAUCUCCUAAGUGUUCUUCACUAUCAAGAACGUGUCAAGGAGAGGUCAAGCAUAGGAGGAUAACGGGUCAAGAUAAGGCAAGGUGACAAAUACACUUAAUGGAGUACUCGAGGUAAGUGAAUUUCGAUUCACUUUUUAGUAGGUUUAAUAGAUUUUAAUACUUAUGUUUACGAAACAUCAUGAAAGAACAUGUAAUAAUCAGAAGUACAAAGCCAAUAAUGCCUCAUUAUUGAGGAAGGUUGUAUUAAGCCGAAAGUAAAUUGGUGGGUUUAAACGGGUCGACUUUUAUGUGCAUAUGUUGCGUAAUGUAAUGAAAUUCGUUAUGGUUAAGACCUUGGGUAGGAAUUUUUAGUCAUUAUGUAAGGGGAACACUUCCCGGACCAUUAGGAACAAGUUUUAUAUGAUUCGGUUGUCGGUUAGUUAAUGAACGGAUUGUUUCAUGUUAGUGUAGGAAAUUUUAUAAGUAUAUGUGUAUAGGAACCCAAAGGGCACGUGGGUUGAAUCAUAGAUUGUUUAUACUAUGUAAAGUUGUGAAUGUGACAUUCCGGCAUAAACCUACAUGUAAAAGAAGCUUGUGUAUAUAUUCGUGAUUAAUUGAUUGUGCGUAGGAAGGAACAUUGGCAUGUAUGAAGGUACGCAUGUAUAUGUAAGUGUGUAUAUAUAUAUAUAUGUAUGUAUAUAUGAUAAUAAGUACGUAGGUGUGAAUGUAUGUGUGAAUGAAUGUUCAAUGCUUAAGACAUAUGCAUGAACGUUAUCAAAGUGUUCGAGUAUUUAUGGUUACUAAUGAUGUGCGUUGAGUUGGAAUGUAAUGUAGGUAUGGGAUCGUUGGCUUCAUGAAGAAAUGGGCUGGAUUUGGAUAAGAGUAUUUAAGAAAGCGCUUGGACAAUUCCACGACUACUUUAUAGAAUGCUCUACGAAAUUCUAUUAUAUAGUUUAAUGUUGUAUGGUAUGUUAAUGACUAAUGGUUUGGUUGUACGUGGUGUCCACAGGUAUCGCUUGGGUUUUCUCUACAUUUAUUGAAGUGAAGCGGACUUAGUUCGAGUUGAGAGCAAGGAUUGUACGGGGUAGAAUGGUCACAUAGUGUAACUCAUAUAGAUUUUGAAGUAUUUGAACCUUCAUGUGUUUGAUAUGUCUAUUAAAGAACGAAAUUUUUGG